GAUGAACGCUAGCGGGAGGCUUAACACAUGCAAGUCGAGCGGGAUUGGUAGCAAUACCAUGAGAGCGGCGCACGGGUGCGUAACGCGUAUGCAACCUGCCUUAUACAAAGGGAUAGCCCAUGGAAACAUGGAUUAAUAUCUUAUAGAACUUGUUGAUCGCAUGGUUUACAAGUUAAAACUUUGGUGGUAUAAGAUGGGCAUGCGUCUGAUUAGGUAGUUGGUGAGGUAAUGGCUCACCAAGCCGACGAUCAGUAGGGGUUCUGAGAGGAUUACCCCCCA
rnacentral:rRNA from 1 species